rnacentral:rRNA from 1 species
AUGGGCAUUCCGAUGUCCAGACUCAGCACAAGCAACAUGAGUUUCUACGGAGUCAUUCCUGGCAAGAAGGCCGCGUCACUCGGCCAGAUUGCUCUUGAUGUGGUUUUUGGUGAUUCCAAGAACUUCCGCAAAGAGAAGCUGACAUUUGAGGUUGUGGAUUUCCAGAGUGCCUACCAUGCUAUUUUGGGCAGGCCAGCUUAUGCACGUUUUAUGGCCCGACCAUGUUACGUGUACCUCAAAUUAAAGAUGCCUGGCCCUAAAGGCGUGAUCACUGUCACUGGUAAUCGCAAGAAGGCAGAAGAAUGCUUCCAGAAAGGCUCAAAGAUCGCCGAUGCUCAGAUGGUGGCAGAAGAGUGGCAGGAACACCAGAGGAAUGCGGACCCGAGAGAUUUGUUGUGA